rnacentral:rRNA from 1 species
GAUGAACGCUGGCGGCGUGCCUAAUACAUGCAAGUCGAGCGAACGGACGAGAAGCUUGCUUCUCUGAUGUUAGCGGCGGACGGGUGAGUAACACGUGGAUAACCUACCUAUAAGACUGGGAUAACUUCGGGAAACCGGAGCUAAUACCGGAUAAUAUUUUGAACCGCAUGGUUCAAAAGUGAAAGACGGUCUUGCUGUCACUUAUAGAUGGAUCCGCGCUGCAUUAGCUAGUUGGUAAGGUAACGGCUUACCAAGGAAACGAUGCAUAGCCGACCUGAGAGGGUGAUCGGCCACACUGGAACUGAGACACGGUCCAGACUCCUACGGGAGGCAGCAGUAGGGAAUCUUCCGCAAUGGGCGAAAGCCGGACGGAGCAACGCCGCGUGAGUGAUGAAGGUCUUCGGAUCGUAAAACUCUGUUAUUAGGGAAGAACAUAUGUGUAAGUAACUGUGCACAUCUUGACGGUACCUAAUCAGAAAGCCACGGCUAACUACGUG